rnacentral:misc_RNA from 1 species
GCCGGAAUAGCUUCAGGAUCUCAAAGUGUGUGGGGAAAAAUGAGUCGUUCAAAAAAUAAGUUUGAACCAUUCAGUAGCAGUCAGGGUAUAACCCGUCACUGUAAGCAAACAAAUGUAGAUACCAUAGACCAGCAAGUGUUGGAAUCAUCUUCAGAGCCCCAAAGUAGUUCUGGACGCAAUAUGCGAAACACAUCUCAAAAGGCACUGCGUAGUCUAUUUGUGAGAGGGAUUCCUCAGAAGGACAACAAACCAGAAGCUCUUCUUUCACAUUUUAAAAAAUUCGGCGAGGUUAUCGACAUCUACA